rnacentral:siRNA from 1 species
UGGCACUGUGUCCUUGCACGCUA